ensembl:lncRNA
AUCACAUUCUUCGAACACACUCCGACCACCUUGCCAAUGGACGAUGCAGCGGAUCGAUUAGGACACAAAAAUCUGUAAGGUGAGACUGACUAUAUACUUUAAUAUCUUUGAAAAUAAUCAUAUAAAAUAUUCAUGUUAGAUGUCUACUUGUUUUUACAGCUUAACAGUAGAUAUGUUAAUGCUUAUUCCUUAUAAUCCACAACAAUGCUAUCUAUUUAUAAGGAAUAUUCUGAUAGUGUUUAAUUUCUUCUACUAGAGAAAACAACAUUUUGUAUUUUUUUAAACUUUUGUUUUAAAUAAACCGAUUGUCAUGGUCCGCAGUCUCCUUGGUUGUUUGUGUUUAUUAAUAUUCAUUGUGUCAGUUAGUUUCCUAGUUAUUUGUUAAUUAUUUCCAGUGUUUAGGUGUUCUCUGUACCUCCCUUGUCUUCAGUGUAUUGUCCCUGGUUCGAUAUUCGUGUUUAUUCCUGUUUUACUUUGAUAGUCCCUGCCCUGCAUCGGUGUAUUCUGUUUUGCUUCCUCCUGGUCUCUUCUCAUCUGAUUAGUGUCAGCUGUGUUUUGUGCCUGUCUGCCAAUUCCUCGUUUCCUUUUGUGUGUGUAUAUUUAGUGUGUUCUUUGUCGGAUCGUCUGUAUUCUCUCCUGUGUUAUCAUCUGUGUUCCCUCCCUGAUGUUUUCAUGUCUUAUGUUCCUUGUUCAAGGUUGUAAGGUUUUUGCAACAUUUUCCAUGUUUCCUGUGUUCUUUAGUUUAGCUUUCCCAUUUUAGGUUUUUGAGGAUUUUUCAAGGCUUUUAAACUACAGUUAAGCUGCCAAAUAGCAAUGAGCAUUAAAUGAAUAUCCAUUUAUUAAACUCAGCUUGAAAACAUGCAUAUUUUAGAGUAAAUUAUAAAAUGCAGUAUAUUUCUGACAUUAAAUUUUUUUAGAAAUUAUCAGUGUACCUUGUAUUUAAUUUCCUUAUCCGCAACUAGUCAAUUAAUCAACCAAUCUCAAUUGCAGUUCUAGGAGGGAACCCUCAUCAGCAGUGAACAGAAAUCUGAGUAACAUGUGGGCAUACAGGACUGAUUCAGUGGUGGAAAGCCAGCCAACAAUGAUAUGAUAUGAGAUUCCAUUCCAUAUUACAGUUUCACACACAAAGAUAUGACAUGUGCGGUCAUGAAAUAUUACCUGGGUGAUGUAAUUGGACUACACGUGAGCUCAACAUAUGUUUUAUAAAAGGUACACUGCUUUACAUGCAUGAACUGUAUUUUCAGGUUAUUGUUUUGGACAGUUUUGUGACAAUUUUUAAAAUGAAGUUGUUGUUUUCCUAUCAAUUCUGACAGUUGAAUGCAAUUUUAGCAUUGCCAUAGUAUAGAUAUACUGAUGCUGAUCUAUUAUUCUGUUUGACAUGGCCUAAAGUGAAUGAGUUGUGCUGUUUCUGUUUUUCAAAUGGGCCUGUAUUUCAUGUUUACCAUGUGCUUUUAGUUCCUGCCUUUGUUCAUAUACUGCAUAUUGUGUCAAACUUGACAGCAAUUAUAUUAAACUUUAGUGUCAAUAAAUACAUUUCUUAAACUGAGCAGCUGUUUAAAUGCCCUUACUCUUGAAAUGAGAAAAAUAAUCUUAUUUUUAUUCUGGAAAUUCAACCAAACCAUUGUCAUGCCUUGUAACUGGUAAAUAAAGCUCAAGAUGAGCUGAAAUAUCCUUUUAAGGAAAAGUUAGACAUAUUUUCCUAGAAUAAGCUUUAUUUUCUUGUCUAAAACUUGCUUGUUAAGAAUAUAUUUUCUUUUUAGGCAAAAAAUAAGAAAAAAUGUCCAUAAACAAGGUUUUUUUUACUUUCUUGAAAAUCGUUUUUUGCAGUG